rnacentral:rRNA from 1 species
AAUCGAUGGGAGCUUGCUCCCUGAGAUUAGCGGCGGACGGGUGAGUAACACGUGGGCAACCUGCCUAUAAGACUGGGAUAACUUCGGGAAACCGGAGCUAAUACCGGAUACGUUCUUUUCUCGCAUGAGAGAAGAUGGAAAGACGGUUUACGCUGUCACUUAUAGAUGGGCCCGCGGCGCAUUAGCUAGUUGGUGAGGUAAUGGCUCACCAAGGCGACGAUGCGUAGCCGACCUGAGAGGGUGAUCGGCCACACUGGGACUGAGACACGGCCCAGACUCCUACGGGAGGCAGCAGUAGGGAAUCUUCCGCAAUGGACGAAAGUCUGACGGAGCAACGCCGCGUGAACGAAGAAGGCCUUCGGGUCGUAAAGUUCUGUUGUUAGGGAAGAACAAGUACCAGAGUAACUGCUGGUACCUUGACGGUACCUAACCAGAAAGCCACGGCUAACUACGUGCCAGCAGCCGCGGUAAUACGUAGGUGGCAAGCGUUGUCCGGAAUUAUUGGGCGUAAAGCGCGCGCAGGUGGUUCCUUAAGUCUGAUGUGAAAGCCCACGGCUCAACCGUGGAGGGUCAUUGGAAACUGGGGAACUUGAGUGCAGAAGAGGAAAGUGGAAUUCCAA